rnacentral:lncRNA from 1 species
CCUGACUUUUAAACUCCCGUUCCAUCUUCUCUUCAUCUUAACCUAAAUUAUCGCAGGAAAAUCACGUCUCCUUCAACUUACUUUCCCACGAUUUUGCUUUCUUCAACUGGCAAACCCACGUCUCUGUAGCAACUGUUCUGUUGUGGAAAUAUAUAUUUCUUCCACAACUAUAUCAUCUUCAGUCCUAAUGUUCCUUCUUCUAACAAGAUUUGAAGAAAACUUACGUCCUAUGCAAAAUAUGGCGACUCACAUUGAUUUCAUCAACGAUAUAACAAUUUCGAAGAUGCAAUGGAAGUUAAAAGUUCGUGUUGUCCGUUUGUAGGAAGUACCGAAUCGUUUUAAUCCAGACAGUAUAUUCUCCAUUGAAUUAGUUCUACAAGAUAAAAA